ACGGUGAGAUCGCCGGGAUUGUACUCCCCGUCUCCCCGCCUCC
rnacentral:misc_RNA from 1 species